rnacentral:rRNA from 1 species
GACGAACGCUGGCGGCGUGCUUAACACAUGCAAGUCGAACGGAAAGGCCCUGCUUUUGUGGGGUGCUCGAGUGGCGAACGGGUGAGUAACACGUGAGUAACCUGCCCUUGACUUUGGGAUAACUUCAGGAAAUUGGGGCUAAUACCGGAUAGGAGCUCCUGCUGCAUGGUGGGGGUUGGAAAGUUUCGGCGGUUGGGGAUGGACUCGCGGCUUAUCAGCUUGUUGGUGGGGUAGUGGCUUACCAAGGCUUUGACGGGUAGCCGGCCUGAGAGGGUGACCGGCCACAAUGGGACUGAGAUACGGCCCAGACUCCUACAGGAGGCAGCAGUGGGGAAUAUUGCACAAUGGGCGGAAGCCUGAUGCAGCAACGCCGCGUGCGGGAUGACGGCCUUCGGGUUGUAAACCGCUUUCGCCUGUGACGAAGCGUGAGUGACGGUAAUGGGUAAAGAAGCACCGGCUAACUACGUG